rnacentral:rRNA from 1 species
AUUUAUUUAUUUAGUUAAUUGUUUUAUUAUUUUUAUUUAUUAGAAAUAACUUUUUUAUUAGUAGGAUUAAUUGAAAGUAUAAUUAUUUUUAUAGUUUAUAGUACUGUUAAGGAUUUUUAAUAAAUGGCUUUAAGUAAUUUUAAUUAAAUGUACCUUUUGUAUCAGGGUUGAUUAAUUUUUUUAUAUAUAUAAUUUUCUCGAAAUUAAAUGAGUUAAAGAUUAAUGUUAGUUAAUGUAAUAAGAUUAUUAAUAAUUGAUUUUUAGUAAUGAAAUGUUAUUCGUUUUUAAAUAUCUAGUUUUUGAAGAAUUAAAUUUAAUUUAAAAAUUAUAUUAUUCAUAAUAAUUUUAUUUAUGGAUUAAUUAAUUUUAAUGUUAUUAGGGAUAAGCUUAAUAAUUAUGUAUAUAAAUAUUUUAUUGUAAAGGUUGGUUAGGUUUAAAAUUAUUCAUUAUUUAAUUUGUUAUAAAAAGUCCUUUGUUAUUUUUUAUUUUUUUAAUUUUAUAUUUUUAUUCAGGAGUUUGAUUUAAUAUUGUAUUUUAAGUUAUAAUGAUUAAAUAAGUAGAUAUAUAACUCAAUUUAUAGUAAUUCGGCUAAUAUUAUGUUCACCUGUUUAACAAAAACGUGUCUUCUUGUUAAUUUAUUUGAAGUUUAACCUGCCCAAUGAAAAUUAAUUUUAAUGGCCGCAGUAUUUUAACUGUGCUAAGGUAGCAUAAUCAAUUGUCUUUUAAUUGAAGGCUUGUAUGAAAGGUUGAAUGAAACAUAUACUUUCUUUAUAUUGUAAUUUUGAAUUUAAUUUGUUAGUUAAAAAGCUAACAUUUUUUUAUGGGACGAGAAGACCCUAUAGAUCUUUAUAUUAGUUAUUUAUAUUUAAAUUGUUUUAUUAAUUUAAUAAAAGUUAUUAAUAUUUAAUUGGGGUGAUUUAGGAAUUUUAUUAACUUCUAGGUUUUACUUCAUUAAUAUAUGUUUAAUAGAUCCAAUUUUAUUGAUUUUAAGAUUAAGUUACCUUAGGGAUAACAGCGUAAUUUCUUCGGAGAGUUCAUAUUGAUGAAGGAGAUUGCGACCUCGAUGUUGGAUUAAAAUAAGUUUUAGGCGUAGAAGUUGAAUUACUAGGUCUGUUCGACCUUUAAUAUUUUACAUGAUCUGAGUUCAGACCGGCGUAAGCCAGGUCAGUUUCUAUCUUUAAAUUAAUAAUUACUUUUUAGUACGAAAGGACCAAAAGUUUAUAUUAUAUAUUUCAUUUUUGAUUAAUAUUA